rnacentral:rRNA from 1 species
GACGAACCGUACGAACGUUAUUCGGAAUCACUGGGCUUACAGAGUUCGUAGGCGGUCUGGAAAGUUGGGUGUGAAAUCCCUCGGCUCAACCGAGGAACUGCGCUUGAAACUACCAGACUCGAGGGAGAUAGAGGAAAGCGGAACUGAUGGUGGAGCGGUGAAAUGCGUUGAUAUCAUCAGGAACACCGGUGGCGAAGGCGCCGCUCUGGGCCGAAACUGACGCUGAGGAGCGAAAGCAUGGGUAGCAAACAGG